rnacentral:rRNA from 1 species
UACGUAGGGUGCGAGCGUUGUCCGGAAUUAUUGGGCGUAAAGGGGCUCGUAGGCGGUUUUGUCGCGUCGGGGAGUGAAAAAACACCGGGGCUUAACUCGGUGCUUUGCUUUUUCGAUACGGGGUAGACUAGAGGUAUGCAGGGGGGAGAACGGAAUUCCUGGUGUAGCGGUGAAAAAUGCGCAGAUAUCAGGAGGAAACACCCGGUGGCGAAAGGCGGGUUUCUCUGGGGCAUUUACCCUGACGUGAGGGAGCGAAAAAGUGUGGGGGGG